UACGUAGGGUGCGAGCGUUGUCCGGAAUUAUUAGGCGUAAAGAGCUCGUAGGCGGUGUGUCGCGUCGGUCGUGAAAACUUGGGGCUUAACCCUGAGCUUGCGGUCGAUACGGGCAUCACUGGAGUUCGGCAGGGGAGACUGGAAUUCCUGGUGUAGCGGUGAAAUGCGCAGAUAUCAGGAAGAACACCUAUGGCGAAGGCAGCACUCUGGGACGGUACUGACGCUGAGACGCGAAAGCGUGGGGAGCGAACAGG
rnacentral:rRNA from 1 species